AUACGGAGGAUCCAAGCGUUAUCCGGAAUCAUUGGGUUUAAAGGGUCCGUAGGCGGCUUUAUAAGUCAGUGGUGAAAUCUCCCCGCUCAACGGGGAAACGGCCAUUGAUACUGUAAGGCUUGAAUUAUUAGGAAGUAACUAGAAUAUGUAGUGUAGCGGUGAAAUGCUUAGAGAUUACAUGGAAUACCAAUUGCGAAGGCAGGUUACUACUAAUGGAUUGACGCUGAUGGACGAAAGCGUGGGUAGCGAACAGGAUUAGAUACCCUGGUAGUCCACGCCGUAAACGAUGGAUACUAGCUGUUGGGAGCAAUCUCAGUGGCUAAGCGAAAGUGAUAAGUAUCCCACCUGGGGAGUACGUUCGCAAGAAUGAA
rnacentral:rRNA from 1 species